rnacentral:lncRNA from 1 species
AGUCACAUGGGCCGAGGGGCGGGUCCUGGUUAGGGACCGUGAGGCUGAGUACUACAGCCUCCUGGGUUACGCUGUGGCCGUGCUGCACAAGACCUGCAGCCUCUCCUACAUCGCGGGGGCUCCACGGUACAAACAUCAUGGGGCCGUGUUUGAGCUCCAGAAGGAGGGCAGAGAGGCCAGCUUCCUGCCAGUGCUGGAGGGAGAGCAGAUGGGGUCCUAUUUUGGCUCUGAGCUGUGCCCUGUGGACAUUGACAUGGAUGGAAGCACGGACUUCUUGCUGGUGGCUGCUCCAUUUUACCACGUUCAUGGAGAAGAAGGCAGAGUCUACGUGUACCGUCUCAGCGAGCAGGAUGG